AAAAGAAUAGAUUUGCCGUAGACAGUGGGUGCGAUAUUGCUUAAUUUCCCACCGAGGUUGCGAUAUACGUGAUACUUGUGCCCUUGUAGUCUACCUGAUUACAAGGGCUUUUUAUCUUU
rnacentral:sRNA from 1 species